rnacentral:lncRNA from 1 species
AGUCCCUUAAUUAUUUUCUUACCUUAUUUCUGCCUAUUUUUCACACUAUAAAUACAUUGCUCUUUCAUUAGCACAAGGCAUCGAUCCCUCACUCAUAAUUUUCUUCUGAAACUACACUUACACACAAUAGUAUUCUCUCUUAUUUGCUUGCAUCAUGGCCUGUUUACAAGACCUAAUGCUUUUCUCUAUUUGUUUCAUUGAAACUAGUAUGUUCUGAUUUAAGCUUUAGCACCACGGCAAUGUGUUUAUUUACUGCUUUUGUAUCCAUGCCUAUUUACUGUUUCUGUAUAGUUCAACACUUAAAUUAGCAUGCUGAUCUCUUUCUUCCUGUUUCUAUUUAUGAAUCCCAAACCCUUGCCCCCUAUGUUUUUGAGCUAUGGCUUAAGGCAUGGCAAUAUGCAAAUUAUUGUCCAUGAAUUAAGCUUGAUCCCUUGGGAUCCUAGCCUCUAAUAGUGUGUUCUAACAGGCUUAUGGGUGUGCUAGCAUUCACCAUUGUUGGGUACGCCCACAGCCUGCCCUUGGCUUUUUACAACCUCCCCGUUCCCCCGUACCCUGUGUGUACUUAUUUGUAGCUGCUUCCCUUCCCCUUUUCCCUCUCUCAGAAUUCUUUUCUGUACUUGCACUCCUUCUUAGUCUUUAAGUUCUGCCCCCUCCCUCUUGUGAGCCUUGCCUUGGGACCUUGAAUUCCCUCUGAACUUGGACACUUGAGGGCUGGCUCUUCCACACUGCAUUUAUCCUAAUCUGAUAAUACAUUUGGGUGUGAGCAUUGCCCGGAGUCCUUUUGAGGUUCUUAGGGAACUUUGACACACUCAAAUGGGAGAAAGGCUUUGGAUCUUGAUCUUAUGGAGUUGGUUUACCUCAUAUUUCAGACAUGAAGUUUGAAUCAGGCUCUCCUUUGGUUGUACUUUUACUUUUUUCUGAUGUAUUUUACUUUAUUCUGGGCUGUAAUAAUUUUGUAAUAAACAUUGGGGCUGGUUAGUGAAAGGGCGGGUAACUAUGUAUGCAAAGGGUAGAUGCCAUGCCUAUAGGUAUUUCUGAAUUCUGCACUUUCACAUAGAUGUCAUGCCUAUGGGGAUUUCUGAAUUCUGCACUCUCACAUAGAUACCAUGUCUAUAGGGAUUUCUGAAUUCUGUAUUCUCACAUAGAUACCACGUUUAUAGGUUUUCGAAUUUUGCACGCUCAAAUGCAUAUAGAAAGCACGUCUAUAGGGAAUUCUGAAUGUCCAUUUUUCAUAUAGAAAUCAUGAUCAUUGGUCUUAAACAAAUUUCUGCACCUAGAUACCAUGCUCAUAGGACUUAAACAUUCAACUGCACUUGGGCAUCAUGUCUUAAACAGAAUUCAGCAUCUAGAUAUCAUGUCCAUAGGUUUAAAAUGAGUCUUCUGCAUUUUUUAUACUACGUCUUCAAGGUUUUAAAAUCAAUAACACAUAGAAAGCAUGCCUAUAGGAGUUUCUAAUUGAAUCUGAUUCGCCUCACUUAAUGUCAGAUAUAAAAUCAGUAAUAACGAGUAUCAUCAGUUUCAGAGCCUAUAACUUUCGUUAAAGUGCGCUUUCUCUGACUUCCCUUUUUUACCAGCAUGUACUCAGUUUAUUUUUAAGACCUUAUUAUUUCAUGGCUUUCCUGAAUUCAAUAGACAUCAUGCCUAUAAGUUCCUUGUCCGACACUUAGGCAAGCCUUAGGGCGAAGUUAUAAAUGGAAUUUGUGCUAUUAACUACAACCAGCAGGAAGACCUGAUUCAGACUUCUUAUCUGAAUUAUGUAACAAAUCAG